rnacentral:rRNA from 1 species
CACGGGGGGGGCAAGCGUUGUUCGGAAUUACUGGGCGUAAAGGGCGCGUAGGCGGCCUUCUAAGUCAGACGUGAAAUCCCUCGGCUCAACCGAGGAACUGCGUCUGAUACUGGAAGGCUUGAAUCCGGGAGAGGGAUGUGGAAUUCCAGGUGUAGCGGUGAAAUGCGUAGAUAUCUGGAGGAACACCGGUGGCGAAGGCGGCAUCCUGGACCGGUAUUGACGCUGAGGCGCGAAAGCUAGGGGAGCAAACGGG